rnacentral:rRNA from 1 species
GCCUGCUGCCACAUCAUCCGGAAAUCACCUGAUCUUGUCAGAGCUCGGCAGCUAAGCAGGCUUGAGCCUGGCUAGUGCUUGGUUGGGUGAACCCCCUUGAAUAAAACUGGUGCUGUAGGCA